AGGUUGCAGAUGCAGCUCAGAUCUGGUGUGGCUGUGGUGUAGGCCAGCAGCUGCAGCUCCAAUUUGACCUCCUAGUCUGGGAACUUCCAUAUGCCAUAAAUGUGGCCCUAAGACCCUCCCCCCUCAAAUAAUAAUAAUACAAAUUAAAACUAUAUUGAAUAAGUUCCAACACAAUAGAAUGGCUAAAAUUAAAAAGACUGACACUACCAAGUGUUGGUGAGAAUGAGGAACAACUGGAACCCUCAUACAUUCUUGAAGUUCAAGCCAACUUUAUGGGGUAAUUUUUCUGAGCCACCCUCUCUACUAUUUCCCCACAUCCCUAAGGCUCCCUUUUCGUUCUGCUAGUCAGAAAGCUGGGGCUUUAUUUACACUGUUCUACUGUGCUCUUCCCAUGACUGCCUGUAAGUCCAGACUAAGUGGUGGGAAGACAGAUGAUUAAUUGUGUUAAUUUGACUUCUUGAAUGUGGGAGAAUGAAGCUUGCAUUGGGGUAUAUAAAUGACUUCAAAGAGAAAGCUAGUUUGUGUUUUGAUUGCCUUAUUGGGUCUGUCUUCACUUAGUUCUUUGUCUGAAUCUUCCUUAUUUUCUUGCAAAAAAUCUUUUACUUAUAAUUGUUUUUCAUGGAGGUUCAGAAAGGUACUUAGCUUGCCAUAUUGCCAGAAGUGGAAUUUGUAGCUGAAAUUUUUCCCAAGUUUUAAUCAGGCUGAUUUCGUUACUUUUCUUCAAACUUUACAUGAACAUUUUUACCUCUGUACUUUGUGCAGGCUCUUCCCCCUGCUUAAAAUCUCUCUCUCCUCCCCUACUAGCCAAGUCCUGUGCAUCCUGCAGUGUUCACUUCAAGUUUCACCUCCUCUAUGAUGCUUUUCUUUGUGUCUGUCUGUCUUUCUGUCUGUCUGUCGUCUUUUUAGGGCCCCACUGGCGGCACAUGGAGGUUCCCAGGCUAGGGUCUUGAUCGGAGCUACAGGUGCCAGCCUACACCACAGCCACAGCAAUGCCAGAUCCCUAAACCACUGAGCGAGGCCAGGGAUCGAACCCGCAACCCCAUGGUUCCUAGUUGGAUUUGUUUCCCCUGAGCCACGACAGGAACUCCUGAUGCUUUUCUUGAAUGCUCUAGCUCAGUAGUUCCCAAGUGUUCAGAGUGUUUAUACCAAUACAAAUUUUAAAACAAACUUGGUGGAACUAUGUAAAAACGGGUCAUUUCCUCUUACCAUUAUUUUUGAAAAGAAAUUACUUUUUUAUCAAGAGAGCAGGAGGAACAUAAUGUCCGAUUAGGGAGAGUUUUAAAAAUUGGAUUAAAUACCUUUCUAUGGAAAACACACUGUGCUGUCCCAUUUUCCCCCUCAUUUUGCUACUGACUGGACAGAGCCUCACUGCUGACUGUCCACAGAUAAUCAGACCCAUAGCUUUAGCUCAGAAUGAAGUCUUCAACUUGAAACCCACAGCAUUUUGUUUUACUGUUUAUGUGGCAUCUAGUCAUGUAUUUCCUCAUGGCAGUGCAUGCUUGACUGUUUACCUUUAUAUUUUAUUUUUUGUCUCCUUGACUAGAUUGUAAACUCCUUAAGAGCCAUUAUAUGUAUGAAUUUAGACUACUCAUAAAUAUGUUGAAUGAAUUAAAUUUAGAUGCCUCAGAUGAUAGUUGAAACCCAGAAAUAUUUAUAGAGCAUACAUUUGAGUAUAUUAUAACUCUGAAUAUUGUUUAUUUCCCAAGGAAGAAGAAAUUUCAAUAUGAAUCAUGAAUCUCCUACUCAUCUGUCUUCUCCUCCUCAAGGAAAUCCAUUCAGUUAACAAAUGCAGUGCUUAUUAAAAGCCAGGCCUUUUGCUGGGGGGCUGAGAAUAGAGGUGAAGUGAAACAAAAUUCCUAGUCUAGUGGGUAACAUGUACGUACAAGUAAGAAGUAUAGACUAAGACCUGGGAAGCCUUUAAUAGAACUUUGAAACAAGUUUUGUGAUAGUGUAAAGAGAGCAACAGUUUUGUAAGGGAGUCAGAGGAGCCUCCAGAGAGGAGCCAUUUCAUUCAUUCAUUCAUUAUCUCUUAAAUGCUUACUCCUUGCCAAGCACUGUUGUAGACGCAUCUUGAAGGAAUUGGACAUUGAGGAUGGAGCACAUUUAGGCAGGGAAAUUGGGUUCAAGAGCAUGUCCUUUGAAGUAAGAAUAGACCUGAAUUUGAGUUCAUGUACUCAAGAUGUUUGUCCUUGAGUAAGCUAUUUAAUUUCUCUAAGACUAUUUUGUAAAAUUCAGAAAUACUUCCUACCUCACAAUAUUUUUAUGUGGAUAAAUGAGGGGGGUGUAUAAAGUGUUUUGCCCAGUGCUCAGUCUUUUGGAAAUAGCUCAGUAAAUGGUAAAUGCACAUACAAGGCAUAGGGGGUGACUCAGUCCUGAUCAGAAGCUCAAUGUGACUGUAAUGUUGUGUGUAUGUAUAGGGUAGGGGUUGUGGCAGAGGAAGGUGAAGAGUCUAGGCAAGGCCGAAUUGGAAACAGCCUCGCAAGUCAUUCUAAUGAGUAUCUUUAUAUUUUUGUAUGCAUUUGGGAGCUUUGGAGAUUUACAUUGUAUUUUUGUCUUUAUUUUCUAAAUUGUUUCAUGGUGUAGUAGCUGUAGCAUAGUGAGCUGGGUCAUAGUAGUUAGGAAUGUGGACUUGAGCUGAACUGCCUGGCUUCUAGUUCCAGCUUCCUCAUUGCCUACAUGCCUAACUUCAGGAAGUACUUUAACCUCUCUGUACCUUAGGUUCUUCACUGGUAAGCUGGACAAUAAACACACCUAUCUUGUUUGUUUGCGUAUAUGCUCUUUGAGCCAUGUUUUUAAAGCUAUGGAACUCUUUGUCAGAGGAAAUCUAUUUGAAAUUUAGACAUCUAAAACAGUAAAAAGUAGUUCUAUGUGGUGGGUCCCUUCUUUUCCCUCUAAGAUAUAUCUCCACUACUCUCUAAAAAUCACUAGCCUAAGACAAGUGACCUAAUGACUUUCACUUAAGUGUCUGUUAAAUUGAUGUUCAGGGCAAAGUACUUUUGUAAGUCAGGAACUUGGGAAAUUAUUAUGUGUAUUUAUUUAACUCAAUAUUUUGGUGCAUAAACCAUGAACCUCACAUUAACAACCAAAAUGUGACUUUGCAUUUUGCAAAACAGUUGGCACAUCUUUCUGAUUUAGAAUGAUAGUUACAAGAUAUCAGAAGUGAAAGAGGUCAUUCUUAGCGAUAUGUUUACGGGUGGGGAAAUUGGAUUCUAGAGAAGUCUUUAAAGCUAUGUUGCAGCCAGUCCACAUGUGCUCACGUUUUAGUCCUCUUUGUGCACCAUUGUCUCUCAUUUCUUGCGCUAAAUUGCACAGCCAGUUCAUCGCCAGAACCAGGGCAAGCAGAUAGUUUUCACCAUUUUUGGAAUCAUGCUUCUUUACAUACUUUUUUAAAACAGCAAGGGGUUUUCUUGGCUUUAAUGUUGACUUUGCUCUGAAGGGUUAUUUCUGAGACUAUGGAUUGGUUUUUGUUCCUCCAAUUGAUCUUGAGGUUCUCUGAAGGGCCUUGGAUUUGGGCUGCUUAGAUAUUCCAAGAUGCCUUUCCUUAUAUUGAUAAGCUCUUAUGGCUCUGAGUAAGUGCCAUGUAUCAAUAAAUCUAGAUCACAGGCAGACUACAUGGGAAGGAAAGAUACUCUAAAAUAAAAAUGGGCAUUUUAUUAUUUACCUGGGCGAGUAAGCAGACCAACUGUAGCUGAAAAUCUUAGAGGAAAUUUAAAGUUUUCCUGUCUGUCAAUGAUCUUAUAUUAAGGAAAUAGCAGACACUUGCGUAGGCAUCCAUGCCAAGUCACAUAGAGUCUGGACCUGAACACCCAGUGGCUGAGUUUCCACAGUUGGUCUCUUAGGCUCUAGGCUCUUUUAGUCUCUCGAGGACCACACAGACUCUUGUGUUGGAUUUUCUAUCUCCCUCCUCCCAGUGGGCUCUUCCUACUUGGGAUCAUUGUUAGGCCAUGUACCUUUGAGUUUUAAGCACUUUUAUUUAACUAAGCAGGUCCUAAAUCUGGCUGGUUAUGCCCUAGAAUCACCUUGGGAACUUAAAUUUUUUUCUGGGACCCCAUCUUGUACCCUCUGAAUCAGAAUCUCUGGGACCUGGGAAUCUAAUCUAUUUUCAAAAAAAUUCCUCAGAUGAUUUUGGUCCGCUUGUGGACCUAAAUUCUAGAACAAGUCAUAUAACUGACUCUAGUCCUGUGACUCAGUCCUGGAUUCUUAAGGGAGAGAAUCUAAUUGACUCAACCUGUCCGAUGUCUGUCCUGGUCCCUCACCACUUUUUUUUUUAAAGGGGAGUUGUAUAUAUGUAUCUUCAUUCUUCUUAGUCAUGGAUAAAUUAAUAGCAGUUUUCAAGGUAUAUUCCCGUAGAACUUUGGUGUUCUGAGUUGCUGUUAAAAUCGAAUGUUGCUGAAUAUUUUCUCCCAAGUCACAGAAAAAAAUAAUGGAUAGAAUACUUCAAUUUUAAGCAGAAUUUUCCUUUGUUGAACAGAAAUUCUUAAUUUGAUAUAAUCAAAUACAUCAGUUUUUCACAUUAUAGUUUGUGUUUUUGAAGUCUCAUAUCCUUAGCUAUCCAGAUCUAUGGUUUUGGCUUUGGACACUGUUAGGGAAGGAUUGUAAGGAAAAAUUCCUAGAAGGAGAUGGGUUAGAAAUGGAAAAAUUGUAGAUAAAGAAUGAGAUUAUCUCAAUUUCAAUUCCUGAUUCUUUUCUGCAUAGACAGUCAUGUUGUCUGGGAAUAGGAACAAUGUUUUGUUUUCCUUUUCAGUCCGUAUGCCUUUUGUUUCUUUUUCUUUCUUUAUUGUCCUGGCUAGGCUCUCUAGUAUGAUAGAGAAAUGGUGAGGGUAGACAUCCUUGCCUUGUUUUCCAAUCCUGGAGGGAAUAUAGUCUUUCACCAUUAAGUAUAAUGUUAACUGUAGGUUUUCCAGAGAGGUCUCUUAUUAGGUUGACAAAGAUCUCUGUUUCUAGUUUUCUGAGUUUUUUUUUUUUUUUUUUUAGUCAUGAAAAAAAUAUGUAUAUUUUUGGUCUUUUUAGGGCUGUACCCACAGCAUAUGGAAGUUCCCAGGCUAGGGGUAGAAUCGGAGCUGCAGCUGUUGGCCACAGCCACAGCAACACCAGAUCCAAGCCACGUGUGUGACCUACCCCACAGCUCAUGGCAACACCAGAUUCUUAACCCACUGAGUGAGGCCACAGAUCAAACCCGAGUCCUCAUGGAUACUAGUCAGAUUCAUUACCCCUGAGCCAUGAUGGGAGCUCCUAUCAUAAAUAUGUUUUGAAUUGUUUUAAAUGCUUUUUCUGCAUCAGUGGAUAUAAUUAUGAUUUUUCUUCUUUAGCCUAUUAAUGUGGUGUCAGUUAUAUUGAUUUUUCAAUAUUGAGCUAGCCUUGCAUCCCAGGAAUAAACUCCACAUGCUCAUGUUGUAUAUUAUUGAAUUUACUAAAAUUUUGUUAAAGAUUUGUGUGUUUAUAUUUGGGAAGGACAUUGGUCUGUAGUGUUGUGUGUGUGUAGAAUUAAUUUUUUUGGUGGGGGCUACUGUCUUUGGUUUUGUAAAAUGAGUUGGGAAGUAUUUCUUCCUCUCAUUUUCUGGAAGAUAAAUUGCAUACAAUUGGUAUUCUUUAAAUGUUCAAUAGAAUUAUCCAGGGAAACCAUUUGCAUCUAUUGAGAUGAUCAUUUGACUUUAGUUCAUGUUGUUGGCAUUUCUGAUGUUCUUUAUUGCUUGACACAGAUUUAUAUUACCAUCCAGCAUCAUUUCUUUCUACUUGAAGGACUUCUAACAUUUCGUGUAGUACAGGUCUGCUGCUGAUGAAUUCUAUCAGCAUUUGUAAUGUCUAAAAAAUCUUUAUUUUGCCUUUACUUUUGAAAUAUUCUUUGGGAAUAGAAUCCUAGGUUGUCAGUUUUUUCUUUCAGUACUUAAAAGGCGUUGUCUACUGUCUUCUUAUUUGCCUUGUUUUUGACAGAUCUUCUGUCAUUCUGUUCUUUGUUCCUCUGAAUGUAACACAUGUUUUUUGUUCUGCUUUUAAGAUUUUAUUACUGGUUUUGAGCAAUUUGCUUAUCAUCUGUCCUAGACUUCUUCGUUUCUUGUGUUUGGGGUUUGUUGAGCUUUUUGGAUUUGUGCAUUUAUAGUAUUCAUCAAAGACACUGUUGUAUAUUAUAUAUGUAGAAUUGGUUUAAAAAAAGUAGGAAAUCUGGAGCCACACUGUCAGAUUCCAGCUUCAUCUCUUACAAGCUGCUGAUUUUGGGAAGGUAGCCUUUUAUUUCAGUUUCCUCAUUCCUAAAAUAGGAAUGAUAAUAGUUCCUCUUUCACAGGGUUGUUGGGAAGAUUAAAUGAGAUAAUACAUUAAAAAAUGCUUAAAACAGUGUCUGACACAUAGAUAGGUGUUUAGUAAGUAAUAAGAUUUAGAAACUGCUUACUCUUGUGCAGAGUAUCUUACUCUUAUUAAAUGAUAGUAAUUUUACUCUCACAGGCUUGGCUUGAGGAUUAAAUGAGAAAGAACAUAAAAGCAGGUCAUCAGUGAAAUAAUUUAUUUCCGCAAGUUGCCUCGGGAGCUCCCUGAAAAUUAUGUGUAAAAAAAAAAUUUAGUCCCCUUUUCUGGGAAGAUAGUGAAGCUUUUCAGGGUCUGUCUUUGCCACCCCCAAUCUAAGAUUAAAGUUGCUACUUUAGGAAGUUCCUGUCAUGGCUCAGCAGUUAACGAACCUGAAUAGCAUCCAUGAGGAUGUGGGUCCCAUCCCGGCCUUGCUCAGUGGGUUAAGGAUCCGAUGUUGCCGUGAGCUGUGGUAUAGGUUACAGACAUGGCUUGGAUCUGGCGUGGCUGAGGUGUAGGCUGGCGGCUUCAGCUCCAAUUCUACCCCUAGCCUGGGAACCUCCAUCUGCCUCAGGUGCGGCCCUAAAAAAAAAAAAAAGACAAAAGACAAAAGAGUUGCUACUUUAGGAGUUGAGUUACCUGGUGGCCUAAUGGUUAAGGAUCUGACAUUGUCACUGCUGUGGCAUGGGUUCAGUCCCUGGCCUGGGGACUUCUGCAU
rnacentral:lncRNA from 1 species